AUUGAACGCUGGCGGCAUGCCUUACACAUGCAAGUCGAACGGCAGCACGGGAGCAAUCCUGGUGGCGAGUGGCGAACGGGUGAGUAAAGUAUCGGAACGUGCCCAGUCGUGGGGGAUAACGUAGCGAAAGUUACGCUAAUACCGCAUACGAUCUAUGGAUGAAAGCGGGGGAUCGCAAGACCUCGCGCGAUUGGAGCGGCCGAUAUCAGAUUAGGUAGUUGGUGGGGUAAAGGCUCACCAAGCCGACGAGCUGUAGCUGGUCUGAGAGGACGAGCAGCAACACUGGAACUGAGACAAGGACCAGACUCCUACGGGAGGCAGCAGUGGGGAAUCUUGGGCAAUGGGCGGAAGCCUGAUCCAGCCAUGCGGCGUGCAGGAUGAAGGCCUUCGGGUUGUAAACUGCUGUUGUACGGAACGAAAAGGUGUGGGCUAAUAAGCUGAGCUCAUGACGGUACCGUAAGAAUAAGCACCGGCUAACUACGUGCCAGCCGCCGCAGUAA
rnacentral:rRNA from 1 species